GAUGAACGCUGGCGGCGUGCCUAAUACAUGCAAGUCGAGCGAACAGACGAGGAGCUUGCUCCUCUGACGUUAGCGGCGGACGGGUGAGUAACACGUGGAUAACCUACCUAUAAGACUGGGAUAACUUCGGGAAACCGGAGCUAAUACCGGAUAAUAUAUUGAACCGCAUGGUUCAAUAGUGAAAGACGGUUUUGCUGUCACUUAUAGAUGGAUCCGCGCCGCAUUAGCUAGUUGGUAAGGUAACGGCUUACCAAGGCAACGAUGCGUAGCCGACCUGAGAGGGUGAUCGGCCACACUGGAACUGAGACACGGUCCAGACUCCUACGGGAGGCAGCAGUAGGGAAUCUUCUGCAAUGGGCGAAAGCCUGAUGGAGCAACGCCGCGUGAGUGAUGAAGGUCUUCGGAUCGUAAAACUCUGUUAUUAGGGAAGAACAAAUGUGUAAGUAACUAUGCACGUCUUGACGGUACCUAAUCAGAAAGCCACGGCUAACUACGUG
rnacentral:rRNA from 1 species